ACGGAUGGAGUUCGUCCGUGGGCAUUGUAAACACAUGUUCUUCUCAUCCUUCCGUCGUUCACCUCGUGUUCUUCUGUCCCUGUUUCAACUGUUUGCACUAUGCCGUCUCUGUAGAGCCUCCAGUUUUGUUCUAAGGCGAGAGAGAAAGAAGGAGAGAGCUACGGUACAGCGCAUUAUUGCGAGCGAGAAAAUCCAUCGCAGCAUGCUGCUAACUAAACAACCAACAUCGCCUGUCGUAACCAGGGUGUGUAGCGAAAGGGAAAUAAAAACCCAUUUGUGUAUGUCAAAGAUUAAAAGCUAUCAUUUGAUCGCACACAAACCCUCCGUCGUUUGCGAGUGUGUGAGAAAACGGACGACACACACCGAGUCGAUUUUUUAUAUCAGUUCUCCUUUUCAAGAAGCUGCCAGGGAGGUGGUUGCUCCAAGUAAAUCGUUUCAUUAAUGCGUUUAGAACAGUUCAGUAAUCCAGCUUAACAACGGAAUCUAGAAGAAACAUCUCAUCAAACAACAACAGAACGGCAUGACUGGUUCGAUUUUGGUUUAGCACUAGCGGGCCCUCGAAUGCAUUCCUUUUUUGUUCAGGUAAACGCAUGCAUAUAUCAAAUUCUAAUCGGCGCAAAAAACAGACAGCAGACACGAGAUACAUACACGUACGCAUAACGAAAUUUGCUAGCCUGUGUGCUUCGCAACUGGAAAAGGACAAGCAUCCUAACAUAAACAUAGCAUAACAUACAAAUCCAAAAGUAUGCAAUACAAGCCGGGUCCACUGCGCGAUAAUAGAUUCCCCGUCUCAGCCUUCAAAUGUUCUCAGUCAGCUUCCUUCCACAGAUGGUACAGACAUGGGGUAGGGUACACACCGGUGAAACAGACAGAAUGCGUCAAGCCAUUGCUCGCUAUCACCUGCGACGGAUGGACCCAUUUUUUUUGGGACGCAGGUGGCUUUCCAGACCGUGUGCGCCGAUCGUUAUUCUUGAAUUUAUCUCAAUCAUUGCAUGAAAUGGGUUGGUCGAGAAAUGGAACAAAAUGUCGGCCGAACCCUGGGUCUGGGGAGAUCGUUAAAUUAACGUACCGUGUAUUAUUAAAAAAUAAAUCUUCAUGAAUCGGUUA